UACAGAGGGUGCAAGCGUUGUUCGGAAUUACUGGGCGUAAAGCGCGUGUAGGCUGCGGAGUAAGUCGGAUGUGAAAUCCCUUGGCUUAACCAAGGAAGUGCAUCCGAUACUGUUUCGCUUGAGUGUCGGAGGGGAUGGCGGAAUUCCCGGUGUAGAGGUGAAAUUCGUAGAUAUCGGGAGGAGCACCUGUGGCGAAGGCGGCCAUCUGGACGACAACUGACGCUGAGACGCGAAAGCGUGGGUAGCAAACAGG
rnacentral:rRNA from 1 species